AGAGUUUGAUCCUGGCUCAGAUUGAACGCUGGCGGCAGGCUUAACACAUACAAGUCGAGCGGGGAAGGGUAGCUUGCUACCUGACCUAGCGGCGGACGGGUGAGUAAUGCUUAGGAAUCUGCCUAUUAGUGGGGGACAACAUUCCGAAAGGAAUGCUAAUACCGCAUACGCCCUACGGGGGAAAGCAGGGGAUCUUCGGACCUUGCGCUAAUAGAUGAGCCUAAGUCAGAUUAGCUAGUUGGUGGGGUAAAGGCCUACCAAGGCGACGAUCUGUAGCGGGUCUGAGAGGAUGAUCCGCCACACUGGGACUGAGACACGGCCCAGACUCCUACGGGAGGCAGCAGUGGGGAAUAUUGGACAAUGGGCGAAAGCCUGAUCCAGCCAUGCCGCGUGUGUGAAGAAGGCCUUUUGGUUGUAAAGCACUUUAAGCGAGGAGGAGGCUACUUGGAUUAAUACUCUAGGAUAGUGGACGUUACUCGCAGAAUAAGCACCGGCUAACUCUGUGCCAGCAGCCGCGGUAAUACAGAGGGUGCGAGCGUUAAUCGGAUUUACUGGGCGUAAAGCGUGCGUAGGCGGCUUUUUAAGUCGGAUGUGAAAUCCCUGAGCUUAACUUAGGAAUUGCAUUCGAUACUGGGAAGCUAGAGUAUGGGAGAGGAUGGUAGAAUUCCAGUGUAGCGGUGAAAUGCGUAGAGAUCUGGAGGAAUACCGAUGGCGAAGCAGCCAUCUGGCCUAAUACUGACGCUGAGUACGAAAGCAUGGGGAGCAAACAGAUUAGAUACCCUGGUAGUCCAUGCCGUAACGAUGUCUACUANCGUGGGGCNUUGAGGCUUUAGUGCGCAGCUAACGCGAUAGUAGACCGCUGGG
rnacentral:rRNA from 1 species